AUAAUGGGAGAAAGGAUAGAUGGAUUAAGCAGUAAAAAUUAAUAGUUUCUGCACUGCUGAACUAUACAGAGACACUAGACACAAAAGUACAACUUGUGUUCAAAGAUUAACUUUCAGGUGCUUGUUACUGCUGAGUAAAACCAGCAGUUCUCUAACUCCUUUUUUUGUGAGCUAAAAUGAGUCCAGAUUAAAUUUAAGAUAAUAACCCUGGCAAAUAUGGGCACCCAAGUUGAUGCGCUAAAAUGUUUUUACCAUGCACUCUGUGAAACUAGGAUGUCCAUAAGAUUCAAACCUGGAACUGAAGUGAUAAAACCACCUAACUCAUCUAGAUAUCAAUCUAAAAUCUAGCUAGGAACUAACUCAGUGUAGCAGGAGGCUUAGUGCUUCUGCUACUUUAAGAGAAGGCAGACUGCAGAUGGAGUAGUCACAGGUACUGCAGGAGGCAAUCAGGAGUCACAAGACCCAAAAGGGGGCUGGACUUGCAGGAUAUAAGCCCAGAGCCUCAGCUGGGGUGGGUGUCUGAUCCUGACAGCCAAGAUGUGAAGAACUCCUGAAUGGCAGGACUACAACCAAGCUCCUGGCAAACAACUAAACUGGGUAUUUCAGCUUCAUCAUCAGCUUGUAGUCUGAACUGCUGGGAAAGGUUGGUUUGCAACACAAGCAAGUUUCUCUACAGCCGCUGCAGAUGAAAGUGAGAUUGUCAUGUGGCUCCACAAGUUGGCACUUUAAAAAACGCAGACCCCCUAUCACAUGGCAAGAUGAAGCUGGCAGCACUGAAGCUCCUUAUGUGGGCUGUAGCUAAAUGGAAAUAAGUAGUCCUGGGAAAUCUGAAACCCUAAUGGAGUUCAUCUCAUUAAGUUAUUGUGUGUGUGCGCAUGCACGCGUGUGCUUGGAGCACUAAAAAGAAAUUGUUAAUAAAGCCUCCUUCAGGUGUUUGACAGAAGAUUUAUGGCAGAAGGAUUUCACAGCAUUCAUAGCCUCUAUUUAUCUUGAUAUAAGUUUACAUGGAACACAAUUUGCAUUUAUUUGUUUCAUAGACAUCUUAUGGUAUAUGCAGUUAUGAAAUUGAUGCUGUUAGUAAAGUGUAAUAUCUAGGGCUGUGUGAAAUUUCGACAGGUGUUUCGUUUCGAAGCUGUUUCAAUGCACUUUGAGCUCAAAACAGUAAAAUAGAAAUGAAACAAAAGGCUUCAAAACAGCUUCGAAACAAAACUGCUCCAUCCCUCAAGCCCAAGUUCUUUGCUCUUUCUCCCACUGGGCGUGUAACUGCCAGCUAAUCAUGAACAAUUGAGCUGCUACUUCAGGGCUGCCUGCUUCCCUUAAAGGGUCAGACCUGCCUGCUUGGAAAGUGCACCAAGGGAGCAGUCUCUGACAGCCCUCGACUUAUGAAUGGAAGGGGGGGUUCGCUCACUCCUUUCCCCACACACAUGUAUAAGCGCAUCCCAUCUGGCUCUGUGUUUUGCUGUUUGUGUACGGAAGCAUGACAUUUGUGGCUGGGGAUGCUGAUAAAGCAUGCAUAAUUCAAAAGAAUCUUAUUUCUAGAUGUGAAAUAUAUAGUCUAUUCCACAAUUUAUUUUUGUUUCCACAGUCUGUCAAACACAAAGUGUUAUAACUCUGGCUAUGUAGAGGUCAUUAUAAAUAAUUCUAUCUGCCACAUGCCCUCUUUGCAGUCCAAUGAAAGUUUCAUAUUCAUUUCUACUACAUACCAAUAUCUACUGGACAUAAAAUAGGCAACUGUAGCAACGAUGAUUAGUAUUAUGCAAAGAUAAAAACAAUUCCCUCGUUAAAAUGCAGCAUCCAAACAGCUUGGCUAAUAUUUGUCCUCUAAUCUCAAAUGCUAAUUGUGACUUUUUAAAUUGCAGCAACUAGGCCAGCAGCACAGUCUAACAAUACCUGAAAAAUGUGCACUGCACUAUUUCACAGCGGGGGUUGCAGCUAUGCAUAGCAUGUGAAAUGAAAGGCAUGUCACAUAUUGGUAUGUCAGCUGUGCCAUGUCACCCAGAAUGUAGCAUGGCAGAGCCUUGGUGACAUGCCACAGCUGAAAAGCCAGCAUGUGACAAACCCUGCUCUUCACUGAGGAGUAUGCCAGAUGCCAGGAAAUACUGCAGUCCCCUCUUAUGUUUUGUAUAAUCAAUUUCCAUGCUGUUGUGCUCUCUCAAAUGUGGUGUUUUGAAACAGGCAAAAUAAUGAUUAUCCAUACUAUAUGUAUGCAUUUUGAAUAAAAAAUGAAAACAAAGAACAUUACAUUUAUGAAUCAUUGUAAUCUAACCACUGAUUUCAGGGCCCUACAUUUUCCAAGGAAUGUGAGAAAUCUACAUGAUGUUGUGUGCACCAGAUUUUGUGUUUGGAUCUCUGAUUUAAAUGAAUAAUGUGUAAAAGUUCAUGAGGUGUGAAACUGCAUAUAGAUAGCUCCUUGCUGGUUUAUGCACAUGAGGAGGUUCAGGAGUGUAAAUGAUUUUUUCCAAGGUCAAUUCAAUUUAUGUCCACCAAGUAUGCUCUGAAAUGUCACUAGUUUUCGAUGGUAGCAUAUAGCUAAAGCUUUGCUUAAUUUUAAUUUACUGUUAAACCAUGCCCACUUUUGAAGACACCUCAUUAAAAUGUACGGGAUAUAUGGCUGUGGAAAUUCAUAGUUUCUGAAAGAUGGCAUACUGUUAUUAGGUUGUAAUUUAAAAAUAAAGACCUCUAGCCCCCAUGUCAUGCUUAGUCUUCUACACUCUUAAGAAUUGUGUAGUAGGGAUUUAACUGUAUAAUUUGGCAUUAAGAUGGGUUAAAAAAAUCAUAAGUCGGCUGUCUAAGGUAUGCCAAUGCAGUUUUUCAUAAUUGUUUCAAAAUUUACUAGCCCAUGUAUUUACUGUGCUCAUCUGCCU